AAGGAAAAUAGGAUUUCAUGUUUGAGGAUGUGAAGUGCUAUCGUGAUAUCCAGCAGGUUGGUUUAAUGUGGAGCCACUUUCUGUUGAUGGGCAAGAAUACACUGCUGUUUGUUAUUCUUAGGUUUUGACAAUAUUCUCUUACCGUGAGGAAUGAUCACUGCCAAGAAGAGAUGAAGACAUGGCUUAGCUACAAAGAGGAAGUACAAAAGGCUGACAAUCCAGGAAACGUACACUGCAAAAAAAUCACACAGGGGAGGGAUUCUCCUGAGCUGUGUGACUGCUGGGUGCCCAAAGGCAGGCUAGUGAUUUCCUUAAAAGGCACCCACAUAGAUUUUGUUUCCCUGCAGUGCAUGCACAUGACCCCAUGGUAUUUCUGGCAAGUCCCCAUCACGUGCCUGCCAGCAGCUGCCUGUGUGAAACAUGACGAGCCUGAAGUUUUCCUGAGGCACAAGCCUACAGAUAUUGAGGUGAUGGUCAGGAGCAUCAUUCCAGAAGCCCAUCUUAAUCAGGGCUAGACUCAGAGCUGGCAUUUCUCUCCUCUCCCAAAAUCACCAGAUGAAUUUGCAGGUGCGGUCAGACCAGCUGGCAUUGCCUGGCACAAGGCAGAGGGCGGGAAGGAAAAAGGACCCGGUGCUGCCGGGUAACGGCACAGCAGGUAUCUCGUCUCCUCCCACUGCUGCCAGAGAGGAUAGGAAACCUGCUGAUUUUGCCUGCUUGAAUAUUGCCCCUAUGCAGGCUGGAUGCUGCAUAUCACCUGCCAGGUGCUGUUGAUGCUCCUGGGCAGAAGGCAGAGCCGAUGCCUGCUGCUUGCCUCUCCCAGUCCCUGCAGGACUUUGGACGCUCCUUUUUAUGAUGAUAUAACGGAUGACAUGUUUUUAUACCCCUCUACCCCUGCAACUGGAAGGGGACUAACAGUAGUAGGAGCCCAGGAGGAGGCAGGACUGCCAGGGUAGCAGUGCCAUGGGUGUAUGAGAAGUACCAUGCAGAAGAAUCUAGAGCAGCCAGCACUGCUGCCAGUGCCAGAUUGCACAAGUCAUAAUGUGGGAGCCUCACAUCAGCACAGGGGCUGAAACAAAAGGACACCCUGUGAAACUGGAAGUUGUCAGAGGCUGAUGUUCAACUGGGCAGUGGGAUCAAUAGAGGAGAUCUUGAGAAAUGUGUGCUGCAAUCUCUAAUAUUUCAUCCCUUAUCGGGUUUGAGCCAGCGUGUUUUGUGGCACAGUUAAUGCCGUGAGGCAAUGUGCUUUCAGUGAUAGUGUGUUUUAGUCCGGUGACCUCGUUUUUGUUAAAUGUCUUGUCUUGGAUCUUUUGCUAUUGCUAAUGUGUGUUGCUACAAUACCAAGAAGAUGCCAAUUAGAAAACCAGUGCAGUCAUUUCACACGGCUUUCCCCAGCUCUUUUCCUAGGAUUCUCCAACCUUUAAAAACAAAUACAAAUAAGCUUAAAUACUUCAUCCCUGGGGCAGUGGAUCUUUUCAAGAUUACCUGUCCUGCAGGAGCCAGUGUCUGCGCUACAUGAGUUCAGUGUCACUUUGGGAGGGUCCAGAAGAGCUGGCAUUCACCUCUUCAUUCACUGUGCUGGCAUACAGAGGUGGUUGGGCAGGAUGAACUGUGCCCUGGGGACAAAUCAGUGACCCUUGGCUCAAAGUGGCCUUCACAUCUGUCAGGUCCCCUGCUAUAGGUAAGAGGCCAUGGUAGGGCUGGAGGUGGCACAGUUGCCUGGAAUGGAAGCCCUGGCCACAGAGAAGGGUUCCCCAGGUGCACAUCUCUUUCUGGGUAUCAUGAAAUGAGUUUUUGGCACUGGCCCCUUGCUGUCUUAAUGCAUAGAGCUUCUGUACUGAGAAUAGGGACUAUAUUCACUGCUGCUCUUUCUCUCACCACUUCCCUCAGCAGUCCCUCCUGUCUUUGGAAAGUUUUUUUACCCCCCUGAUAUUUAGCUAUAUUUCCCCCUUGCAUUUCACAUCCAUCACUGUUUUUUGCUUCACUCUUUUUUUCACUUUGUCUUGUUCGGAGCCUUUCUGCAUGGACAGAGGGGCAGAGCUUGCAUCUUCCCUCUUCCUUGCCUAGGGCAUGGUUUACAUCUUACUUUUCUUUCAGUUUCUGAGUGAAUUUACUGCCAAGCAAUAGUGGGUGAAAACUCACAGCCCAAGAGCAGUUAUGUAUAGCUCAGUAUCAAACUGUCGUAAAUUUACUUGCUUUCAGAGUUUUCAUUAAGAAGGUGAUGAUAGAGCAGUGAACACACUCAUUGUGGGAGCUCAGGGUCAGAAGUUGUUGCAACCCCCUUCUCAGGAGGAAAGAUAAGCAUAAGCUGAAACACCCAAGCUGCAAUCAGUGGCAGAACACCACUCCAGGAAGCAUCACACCUCAUCAGAGGGUGUUGGCUUUCUAAGGCACCUCAAGUGCUCUGCCAGUGUAAUUAGUAGUGAUCUGAAUCAGACAUCACUAUCUACACGUCUGUCUACAAUGGUGACGUUUCCUCAUACAUCUGCAGUCAACAGCAAUUUUGAGGUGGAUACACUCCCUAGCCCACAAUAAUCACCUGCCUUGUGCUCGUUGUCACUCUGCACAGGAGUGUUUGUCCCAGAUAGAUCCUUUUGUUGUCCCCACAUUGCUCCUAGAUCCCAGGCUUGCUGGGGGAAGUGACACAAAAGUGAAGGAUAAAGCUGGAGGGAAAGGUGUUUUGUUUAGCUGCAACGAGUCAGGCGUUGCCUCUACCAAAGAAAAGAACAGGUUUUGAUCCUGCUGUUUUUAUUUGUUUUAAAGGAAAAAGUGGGCAGUUUAUUGGGUGCAACACACUCACUUCACUCUCAGCUCCCGUGACUAGGUAAACACUUCCCAGUCAAACCCUUACAUCUCCCAUAAAAAAAAAAAAAGCUGGAAAAUUGGGAAUAUAGUGUUGUUCUGUCAUCAAAAAACACUAAUAACAUGCAGCAUGAACUCUGCCUUUUCUCUGACUAUCCUGUAAAGUGCUGUGGCUUAGACAUAGCAACAGUCGGUCAGGUCCAGACACUGCCUCUCGCUCCGAGCGGCCAGGCUGAGGUCAUGUCUCAGUUCAUUUUAUUUUAUUAAUUUGUUUUUUAAUUAUUUGCUUUCACAAAAGGCUUGUAACGCGUGAUGGAAGGAGGGGGAAAAUUCACCACUGGAGCUUUGUCGCUCCUUGUGUGCUGCCUGCAGGAGCCGUUCAGAAGCCAGGAAGGGGCCACAAGGGUGCAGGAGCCCCUCGCCUCUGCAGUGUCAGACAGGGACAGUCCGCAGGCCUCCUGAGGCCCAUGGGAGCAUGUAGGUGGGAAAGGUAGAGCAGGGAGAUGUGGGGAGGAGAUGCUGGCAGGAGACAGAGAGGAGGGUUGGGAGCCUUCCUUUCCCAGAAGGGAGCUGUGGAGAUGCAGGCACUGUGGAGCCAGCAGUUGGGGCAGGACAAGGGGUGUGGGUGAUAGAGAGGGAGACGCAGACCGGUGAUACCUGUUUGUGCUACUUCACCUGUGACUGCCCGUGCAACUCUUCAGACUUACCUUUGUGCUUCAUUUUUUUAAUCAACCUCCAAGAUCUCAAUGUAAACUUGCUUGUCUUACCCUGGCUACGUCCAGUCCUCCUGUCUAUACCCUCUGUGCCAGCCAUGCUCUGUCUCCUUCCCCAGAAAGCUCACUUCCCUCUGCAAGGCUCUUAUGGUUGUUCACAGUAGAAGUGACCACUGGCUUCAUCCAGGCUGCCUUUCCCCAUCUCACUUGUGUUGGAUGAAGUGUGGGCACCUGCACACAGCAGUGUGAUUUAGUUCAGCCUCUGAUAUUGUCACACUUUCAGGAUGAUGUUUGUCCACAUUGCAGGAGGUGGAUCAACAUGUGCAAGGUAUCCUGCAGAGCUUCCCAAGCUUUGGACAGUUGAAUGGUUUAGUAGAAUGCGGAAUAUGACAAUCCUGUCCUUGGGUGGGAUGAGAUUCCAUUCUCUGUGACUUGUUCUCAAUAUGGACUGUAGUUACCUGCAGUGGUGGUAGAUCGGAUUUCUUCAAGUACCUCCUGUCUUGCGUUUCAGUUGCUUUGGCAACUCAUCAUGACGAUACACCACUAUGGAUGGGCCAUGCAGACAGCAUCCCAAGGAAUUUCUCAGAUGUAGUCUCUCUUGGGACAGGGGAUGCGGAUGUCUGGGCACUGGGAAAAGGCAGUUAGGAGGAAGAUGGUGAUGUCCUUUGUGUGAGUCAUGAAGGCUUCCAGCUCUGUUCAAACCCCCAGGAACCACGCCAGAGGUGACAGACUUGGGCUCCUGGCCACCAGCUGGAACCUGGCCUCACCUUUUCACACCAUGGAACAUCAUUCGCAGGCGAGACCACAAUGGGUGACCGGCUGAUGGUCACCUGCAGACCUAUGGGCACCUGGCCCCAUAUGGAGAUAGUGCCAACAGAGAGCUGAGACACCAACUUUCUGUGCAGAAGGAACUGACCUGCUACAGUGUCCUGAGCUGUAGCUUUCUCCAACAAAAUCACAGGAAAUCACUUUUCUCUACCAAACAUGACACCGGGAGAUGCGAUGUUGGUAGGCAUGCUGCCCAGCUCCCAGCUCCCAGAGUUCCUGGCCACCAGGAUGACUGCCAUGAUGGUGAUAAUCCACCUUGCCUCAUGAGAGUGGCUCAGAUUACAGCCAGAGAAAAGACAUUAUUGGCUGCUCCGCUGGUCUCCAAGCCCAAAACUUGUUACCUGCUAGGUACUCCUAUGUGACUCAUGACCACAAAAAUAAUAAAAAAACUAAUGGGUAA